rnacentral:rRNA from 1 species
GGCUCAGAACGAACGCUGGCGGCGCGCCUAAUACAUGCAAGUCGAACGAGAAGGCGUAGCAGUACGCUUGUAAAGUGGCGAACGGGUGAGGAUUACAUGGGUAACCUACCCUCGAGUGGGGGAUAACCAGCCGAAAGGUUGGCUAAUACCGCGUACGCUUCCGGAACUGCGGUUUCGGAAGGAAAGCGAUACCGUGGGUAUCGCGCUCUUGGAUGGGCUCAUGCCCUAUCAGCUUGUUGGUGAGGUAACGGCUCACCAAGGCUUCGACGGGUAGCUGAUCUGAGAGGAUGAUCAGCCACACUGGCACUGCGACACGGGCCAGACUCCUACGGGAGGCAGCAGUAAGGAAUAUUGCGCAAUGGGCGAAAGCCUGACGCAGCGACGCCGCGUGGGGGAUGAAGGUCUUCGGAUUGUAAACCCCUUUCGGGAGGGAAGAUGGGAUGGGUAACCAUUCGGACGGUACCUCCAGAAGCAGCCACGGCUAACUUCGUGCCAGCAGCCGCGGUAAUACGAAGGUGGCAAGCGUUGUUCGGAUUUACUGGGCGUACAGGGAGCGUAGGCGGUUGGGUAAGCCCUCCGUGAAAUCUCCAGGCUUAACCUGGAAAGUGCAGAGGGGACUGCUUAGCUAGAGGAUGGGAGAGGAGCGCGGAAUUCCCGGUGUAGCGGUGAAAUGCGUAGAGA